rnacentral:rRNA from 1 species
GACGGAGGGUGCUAGCGUUGUUCGGAAUUACUGGGCGUAAAGGGCGCGUAGGCGGCCUGAUCAGUCGGGUGUGAAAGCCCGGGGCUCAACCCCGGAACGGCACCCGAGACGGUCAGGCUGGAGACCGGGAGAGGAGGGUGGAAUAGCCAGUGUAGAGGUGAAAUUCGUAGAUAUCAAGCAGAACACCUGCGGGCGAAAGGCGGCCUUCUGGACGAUGACUGACGCUGAGACACGAAGCGUGGGGAGCAAACAGG